UACGUAGGGGGCAAGCGUUGUCCGGAUUUAUUGGGCGUAAAGAGCGUGUAGGCGGCCAGGCAGGCCCGUUGUGAAAACUCGAGGCUCAACCUCGAGACGUCGAUGGAAACCGUCUGGCUAGAGUCCGGAAGAGGAGAGUGGAAUUCCUGGUGUAGCGGUGAAAUGCGCAGAUAUCAGGAAGAACACCUAUGGCGAAGGCAGCUCUCUGGGACGGUACUGACGCUGAGACGCGAAAGCGUGGGGAGCGAACAGG
rnacentral:rRNA from 1 species